rnacentral:lncRNA from 1 species
GUUCUACCCUGAUGAAGACUACAGUUAUAGUUCUACCCUGAUGAAGACUACAGUAAUAGUUCUACCCUGAUGAAGACUACAGUAAUAGUCCUACCCUGUAACCCUGAUGAAGACUACAGUAAUAGGUCUACCCUGUAACUCUGAAGACUACAGUAAUAGUUAUGGUUUAAACUAGGCUCUUCAACCCUGUUCCUGGAGAGAUACCCUCCUGUAGGUUUUAACUCUGACCCUGUUCCUGGAGAGAUACCCUCCUGGAGGUUUUAACUCUGACCCUGUUCCUGGAGAGAUACCCUCCUGGAGGUUUUAACUCCGACCCUGUUCCUGGAGAGAGACCCUCCUGGAGGUUUUAACUCCGACCCUGUUCCUGGAGGUUUUCACUCCAACCCCAGUUGUAACUAACCUGAUUCAGUUUAUCAACCAGCUAAUUAUUAGAAUCAGGUGUGCUACAGCAGGGUUGGAGUGAAAACCUCCAGGAUGGUAGUUCUUCAGGAACUGGGUUAGAGCUCCCUGAACUAGGCUAUAAGGCAGUGAGGAAGACUCCACUCCUUCAUAUAACACAGACCACUGAGGAAGACUCCACUCCUUCAGAUAACACAGACCACUGAGGAAGACUCCACUCCUUCAGAUAACACAGACCACUGAGGAAGACUCCACUCCUCCACACAGACCACUGAGGAAGACUCCACUCCUCCACACAGACCACUGAGGAAGACUCCACUCCUCCACACAGACCACUGAGGAAGACCCCACUCCUCCACACAGACCACUGAGGAAGACCCCACUCCUCCACACAGACCACUGAGGAAGACUCCACUCCUCCACACAGACCACUGAGGAAGACUCCACUCCUCCACACAGACCACUGAGGAAGGCUCCACUCCUCCAGACUGUCCUACCUGGCCAGAAUCACCAGCACCAGCAGGUUACCCACAAGGCUUAGCACAAUGACCACGGAGAGGACCAUGGGUGUGACGAGGGCUCCGAACCAGACCACGUCUGUCUUGGAACAGAGUUCAUCCCCGUACUCUUCGUCAAAGUCGCCGCUGCCGUAGAAAUCACUGGUGGCAUUGGUUCCAUUGCUGUAUUUGGGUUUUAUCAUUGCAAUGUGAUCCAAAAGGUGGCAACGGUGUGCUUUAGGACCAUGCGGACACCUCUGACACCGCGGACACCUCCGAAGGCUGUUUAGAGUGUUCAGCCGGCUGAGUUUAUGACUACCCCGG